rnacentral:tRNA from 1 species
GCCCCGGCAGCUGACCCGGUGAUAGCGCUGGACUGAAAAUCCGGAGAGGGACGUUCGACUCGUCCCCGGGGCACCA